CAGCGGAGCCCCAGGCCCUGUUCAGAAUCAAACCUUGACCUUAACACCACCACCCUGCGUCCUCGGCCAGGAGAGGUCACCUAGGAGCUGUGGAGCAGCUACCAUGCUGCUGUGUAGUAUGGACAUUUGCUCCAUCAAUAUUACAACAUGUUAGUUGAUAUGGCUUUCUCUGUUACCGUUGGUUGAGUUCAGCUGAAUCACUGGAUUCAUUUGAAUGUUUAUGAGCAAGGUAGGCAACACUUUGAUCUUCAAAGAAUAGAACAUGGAGUGUGGAGGUGUCCCUGGGCGAGACGCCUCACCCUGACUGCUCCUGAGGAGCUGACUGUCGCCCUGCGUGGAUGACUCUGCCAUCACUGUGUGAAUGGGUCUGGUCCGACCCAUACAAGCCCACCAGCAAGUGACCUCCAACCUGACAACUGAGGAUGGAGGGUCACCUGACCUGAACUGUGUGUGCGUGGGAAUGUUUUUCAUUUGUAACUUUAUUCUAUGAAUAAACUCAAAAUCAUACCAGUAGUGGUGUUGCUGUUUUAUUUCAGCCUGUAAAAUUGCUGAACAGCAAUCUCGGAUUAGCAACUUGAAUGCAAAUUUGGAUUUAGAGUUUAUAUCUUUAUUUGAAGAUGAGCCCAAAAAUCUAGUAAUAGAUACAGUUGUGUUUAUAGAUCUUAACCGAAGUUCAACUCGUAUGAAAUCGCCUUCCUCGCCACCAAAAAUAUACUGCAUAACGUUGCAGUAUAUGUGUAACGUUGCUAUACUAGUUUUAUUUAAACAUAUGCGUUUGAAUA
ensembl:lncRNA